rnacentral:rRNA from 1 species
UACGAAGGGGGCUAGCGUUGCUCGGAAUCACUGGGCGUAAAGCGCACGUAGGCGGGUCGCUAAGUCGGGGGUGAAAUCCUGGAGCUCAACUCCAGAACUGCCUUCGAAACUGACGAUCUUGAGUUCGGGAGAGGUGAGUGGAACUGCGAGUGUAGAGGUGAAAUUCGUAGAUAUUCGCAAGAACACCAGUGGCGAAGGCGGCGAUCUGGGAAGAUACUGACGCUGAGGUGCGAAAGCGUGGGGAGCAAACAGG